rnacentral:precursor_RNA from 17 species
ACCUUCCUCCCAAAACACCUGCAUUCAGCACAGCAGCACACCAUGGUUUGCAUGUAUUGAAUAUCCAAACCGUUGUGUGCUGUUCUGGGGAGUGUGGGGAAUUCUGUCUGGUAGUGG